AUUACGGCCGCACAAGUGUCAGGUUUCCUGUCAUAUUUCAAAUAUAUGUUCCCAAUGACUUUAUCAGCAGUACCGGUGUGGCAUGCUAUAGGCGAAGUAUUAGGACUUCAGAAAAAUCUUUGUAAUUGAUCUGAUUUUCUCUACGGUCCAGAAAUUUGAUCUUGAUUAUGUAUAUUUUUUGACACCAGAAUUUGGCCUUCAGAAUAUUGCAGCUAGCAACAAACAGUAAUAUAUUGAGCUGUGUUUGCAGCCAAUUUUGCCUGCCACAGCCUGCAAGUGUGCAAAGUAUCCUUGCGAUGCCUUCAUUCUAUACGCAAUUCACAGAACGGCUGGACUUAGGAGCGGCACGCCUAUCAAAUCAAGGCGGGGCUAUGGGUGACCCUGCGGGUGCCAGAGAUGCGGAGAAUAAGGAGCUGGCCUACACGGUACUAAGUGAUGGUGGUACGUCCAUUGCACGCAUUUGGUUCGUCCGAUAUUCCGCGAUCAGUCCCACGCGCCUCCACGGCCGGCCCUGAUCGCGGCCUCGACCUCCAUGGGAUCUCCACCGAGUGCUGCCCCGACAUGCUGCUCUGUACAAUAAUGCCCACGCUCCCGUCGGCCAGGCAUGCCGUCCCAGGGCUGGUCAUCACCGUUUCCUGACUCUGUUUCUCCAGGUCUAUGGUCGCCAUCGUUGGAGGUCUAUGGUUGUCCAGUCCAUGCUACAGAAGUAUAGCUCCAUCCAUCCUAGGGUGCUCCAAUAAGGGUACACAAGGCCACUUGUUGGAUUCUUUGUGUCGAAGACACUUGGUUACUACAGUGCUGGGAGUCUAGGACAAAAGUGGAGCAUGGCAUCAAUCUUGUCGAGCCGGUCUCAGCAGGGCCUCCUCUCUCGCCGCUUCCUUCCAGAAACCAAGGAUAGUUAUUUUGCAACUUCUUCUUUCAGUCCAUUUGAUGCGUGCAGUGAGAAUAAAUGCCAAUGGUUGUCAGGUUAUUGUGGUACGGUAUUUGGAAGAGCAAACUGCAGUGAUGAACUACUUACUUUUGAUAUGGUAGAGAGGACUGGAGUUGAGAAAACCUCUGUAGUCUGUACUCUCAUCCUAGAUUUCAGGUCAGUAUUGCCUAAUUGAAUAGUUCUUUUUGGUUGGAACAGGGAUUUAUUUUGACAAUCAUUGUAGUCUCUCCUGCUCCAGGGCUACGGAGCAGAAUACAACAAGGAGAGUUAUGCUACUAAACUAUACUCGUUAUUCUGCUGGCUGUACAUCCAUCUAUUGGGGGAUGCUACUUAGCUUCACAUUUUUGUGCACCUGACAUGCUUGAACUAAUUGGAUGGAAUGAGCUGUCUUGCAAUACCAUUUUUAUCACAAAUGAUGAAGUUCAUUGUAUCAAAGUCUUCAAUUUGACUAAGUGUUGAUUUGGACUUGAAAGUUGAUGGCCAUGCUCACUUACGUCCAGUAAGUUGUAAUAUGCAUUGUGGCUGAUUUGUUGUUCACUUUUUUUUUCCUAUUAUAACUGAAACCCAGGUCGCUGCCAGACAUGUCGUGAAGAAAUUCCACCAUUGGACAUGAGCUCAGUUUUCCUUCUUAGUAGCCACUGAUUGAGGUUUACAGUUAUGCCAGUGCAUGAUUUUAUAAUUUCAAUGUUGUUUUAAUGUUGGGAAAUGUAGAAUACUUUGCGGGGAUUUAUGUAGAUUGGAUAGUCCUUCAGAUCGGUGUUACAUAAUUAGUAUGUAUUUUAUAGGUGAUGGUCAUCCAUGAAGAUCUAAGUGCUUUACUUAAGAAAUACACUCAGUUCAUCUUUGUAGUUUGUACUUUGUGUAUAGCAUCUGGCUAUA